rnacentral:sRNA from 1 species
UCCCUAUGAACAACUUAGCUAUAUACUUACAGGCAGGAAGCUACUGUAUUCUCUCAGCAAGUCUUUAUGAUCUCAGGCUUCCAGCUCCGCCAUACAAUCUGCCGGCAACCGAAUUUGAAUUCUUGGAACCUUCUCUUCAGUGACCCCUUCUUUGGCCGCUUUGAGCCCGGUUCAGAAACCGACCCAUGGUAGUGCAGAGGAGGCUGUGGUGUGCCGGUCUCAAUGCUGGCCACAAUCUUCUGAACCAUCUCAUACACCUCACUCAUCUUUGGGCGCGACUUUGGUAGCCGGACGAGACAGCGGUUCGCCACACUAGCCAGCUUUGUCAUGGACUUGAGGUUGUAGUGCCCCUCUAGCCGUGGGUCUAUGAUGAUGGGGAACCGCUUGAUAUCAGAUAUGUAUGGUUUCACCCAAUCCAGGAGCUUCUGCUCACCCUUUGGGCGGUUCCGGUCAAUGGGACGGCGGCCGGUGAUGAGCUCAUAAAGGAGCACACCAUAGCCCCAUAUGUCACUCUUGGCAGUGAGGCGUCCGGUCUGCAUGUACUCCGGAGCUGCAUACCCAAGAGUUCCCACGACCUGU